UAGGGAAUCUUCGGCAAUGGACGAAAGUCUGACCGAGCAACGCCGCGUGAGUGAAGAAGGUUUUCGGAUCGUAAAACUCUGUUGUUAGAGAAGAACAAGGACGUUAGUAACUGAACGUCCCCUGACGGUAUCUAACCAGAAAGCCACGGCUAACUACGUGCCAGCAGCCGCGGUAAUACGUAGGUGGCAAGCGUUGUCCGGAUUUAUUGGGCGUAAAGCGAGCGCAGGCGGUUUCUUAAGUCUGAUGUGAAAGCUCCCGGCUCAACCGGGGAGGGUCAUUGGAAACUGGGAGACUUGAGUGCAGAAGAGGAGAGUGGAAUUCCAUGUGUAGCGGUGAAAUGCGUAGAUAUAUGGAGGAACACCAGUGGCGAAGGCGGCUCUCUGGUCUGUAACUGACGCUGAGGCUCGAAAGCGUGGGGAGCAAACAGG
rnacentral:rRNA from 1 species